GACGAACGCUGGCGGCGUGCCUAAUACAUGCAAGUAGAACGCUGAAGGAGGAGCUUGCUUCUCUGGAUGAGUUGCGAACGGGUGAGUAACGCGUAGGUAACCUGCCUGGUAGCGGGGGAUAACUAUUGGAAACGAUAGCUAAUACCGCAUAAUAGUAGAUGUUGCAUGACAUUUGCUUAAAAGGUGCAAUUGCAUCACUACCAGAUGGACCUGCGCUGUAUUAGCUAGUUGGUGGGGUAACGGCUCACCAAGGCGACGAUACAUAGCCGACCUGAGAGGGUGGUCGGCCACACUGGGACGGAGAAACGGCCCAGAGUCCUAGGGGAGGCAGCAGUAGGGAAGCUUCGGGAAUGGGCGGGAGUCUGACCGAGGCACGACGCAGGAGUGAAGAAGGUUUUCGGAUCGGAAAGCUCUGUUGUAAGAGAAGAACGAGUGUGAGAGUGGAAAGUUCACACUGUGACGGUAUCUUACCAGAAAGGGACGGCUAACUACGUG
rnacentral:rRNA from 1 species